rnacentral:rRNA from 1 species
CCUACGGGAGGCAGCAGUGAGGAAUAUUGGUCAAUGGCCGGAAGGCUGAACCAGCCAAGUCGCGUGAGGGACGACUGCCCUAUGGGUUGUAAACCUCUUUUAUAAGGGAAGAAUACAUGCUACGUGUAUCAUGAUGCCUGUACCUUAUGAAUAAGCAUCGGCUAACUCCGUGCCAGGAGCCGCGGUAAUACGGAGGUUGCGUGCGUUUUCCGGAUUUAUUGGGGUUAAAGGGUGGGGAGGGGGUUUUUUAAGGUAGUGGUUAAACCUCCGGGCUUCAACUUGGAUUUGCCAUUGAAACUGUAGGACUUGAGUACAGACGAGGUCGGCGGAAUAAGUAGGGUAGCGGUGAAAUGCUUAGAUAUAACGAAGAACUCCGAUAGCGAAGGCAGCUUACCAGACGGCAACUGACGCUGAAGCGCGAGAGCGUGGGUAGCAAACAGGAUUAGAUACCCCAGUAGUC